CGCGUGAGUGAUGAAGGCUUUCGGGUCGUAAAACUCUGUUGUUAGGGAAGAACAAGUACGAGAGUAACUGCUCGUACCUUGACGGUACCUAACCAGAAAGCCACGGCUAACUACGUGCCAGCAGCCGCGGUAAU
rnacentral:rRNA from 1 species